rnacentral:rRNA from 1 species
UACGUAGGGCGCAAGCGUUGUCCGGAUUUAUUGGGCGUAAAGAGCUCGUAGGCGGUUUGGUAAGUUGGAUGUGAAAUCUCCAGGCUCAACUUGGAGGGGUCAUUCGAUACUGCCAUGACUAGAGUUCGGUAGGGGAGUGUGGAAUUCCUGGUGGAGCGGUGAAAUGCGCAGAUAUCUGGAGGAACACCGGUGGCGAAGGCGGCAUCCUGGACCGACACUGACGCUGAGGAGCGAAAGCCAGGGGAGCAAACGGG